UUUCAUGUGUCUCAGUUGAGGAGGUACAUUCAUGAUCCGUCGCAUGUAGUCCAAGUAGAUGAUGUACAGGUGAGAGAUAACCUGACUGUUGAAACAUCACCUAUGAGGAUCGAGGAUCGAGAGUUGAAGCAGUUGCGGGGUAAAGAGAUUGCCUUGGUGAAGGUAGCUUGGGGAGGACCAGCAGGUGGCAAUGUGACUUGGGAACUGGAGAGUAAGAUGAAGGAGUCUUACCCAGAGUUGUUCGCUUGAGAGAAGCGAUUGUGAAAGAGGAAAAGGGCAAAGAGGCAGAGCAAGAGGAAGAAGGUUGGAGAAGAGAAGAGCUUGGUGCUUGAGAUUCGCCGGAUUAACUCAGGUAACGAGAAAUGAGUUGAGUAGAAGCGAAUGCUUGGAGUCUAGUGUAAUCUCCUUAGUGGGUCAUGCUCUGAUAGAUGUAACAUCGGGAGGGAACCUUUGAAUUAUGUUGUUAAUGAUUGUUGAACCAGUUUACAUGUAGUAUGUUACAUGUUUUGAUUGAUUUGAUUUAUAUCCGCUGCGAUUUAUGCGAAUGUUUAAUUG